UACUCCUUUUGCAUUGUGGGUAAUUGGGGUGUGUGGAAACAUGAGCGCUUUCUGGAUGCCAUCUUUACUAUUGGCAGAAAGGCCCGUUGCCGGGGUUACCCGAGACCUUAAUUGUGAGACAGAAGGCUUGGUAAACCCUCUCGGAUAGUAGCUGGAUUCCAAGUGUCCACUCAGGUCUCACAGCCCUUGCAGGGGGCAGCGUUCCCUACCUUCGCGAGCUGUGUACUCAUUGUCCUCAAUGAUCCGUGCCAGGCCGAAGUCAGCAAUCUUACACACCAGGGAUGCAGAGACCAAGAUGUUGGCAGCCCGGAGGUCUCGGUGGAUGUAGUUCCUCUGCUCGAUGAAGGCCAUACCCUCUGAAAUCUGCACCCAAAAGAGACAGUGUCAUCAUACUAAAUUCUAAUAAAGAAUUCAAAAUGA